rnacentral:rRNA from 1 species
CGCCUGUUUAUCAAAAACAUCUUUUCUUGUUAGUUUUUGAAGUAUGGCCUGCCCGCUGACUUGGUGUUGAAGGGCCGCGGUAUGUUGACCGUGCAAAGGUAGCAUAGUCAUUAGUUCUUUAAUUGUGAUCUGGUAUGAAUGGCUUGACGAGGCAUGGGCUGUCUUAAUUUUGAAUUGUUUAUUGAAUUUGGUCUUUGAGUUAAAAUUCUUAGAUGUUUUUAUGGGACGAGAAGACCCUAUAGAGUUUAACAUUUAUUAUGGUCCCUUUCUGUUUGUGAGGGUUCACUGGGCCGUCUAAUAUGUUUUGUUGGGGUGAUGGGAGGGAUUAAUCUAACCCCUCCUUUUUGUUGUUAUAUUUAUUUAUAUUUACUUGAUCCAUUUAUUUUGAUUGUAAGAUUAAAUUACCUUAGGGAUAACAGCGUAA